UAAAGCACAUUCAGCCUUAAACUUUGUUAAUAGCCUCCAUAUUUUGAUUGCUAGUUUGGCAAUUGAUCCAUACGGAAUGAUCCUGAUUAAAGAUACUGUAGUAAACAAACAAAAAAGACAAAAGGUUAUACUGCCAAUUUGUCCUUUGGAUCUGUACACCUUAAAAAUAGUGUUUUAAUCUGGACACACACCUGAUCUUUGCACUCUUUUCUCUUGUGCUCUGAGGUGAGGUUUCAGCUGAACAGGUUUGCUCCUCAUCACUGGAGUCUCUAAAACAACAAGCUCUUCCUCUUCCUGGAAUGUGAGGGGUCCUGUGCAGAAAACACAGAUUUUCCCCAUCAGUUUGAAGCACAGCAAACAGUAACGGCCUGUGAAAUGAAAUCAUUUUGCCCAGCAGCCAUGCAAGAUUCUUUCCCGAUAUCCAAGAGCCUGGCUAUGAUGGAACCCCCUGGCAGACUGUAAAACAGGGGUUGUUCAGGUUUUAAGACAGUACAGAAUGUCAAAUGAGGCUGCAAUGUCCCGGAAGAUAUCUGAGGCGUAACCAGAUCCAUUUACUUGGACUGCAACUACUACUGGAGCU